UACAGAGGGUGCGAGCGUUGUUCGGAAUUGACUAGGGCGUAAAGGGCUCGUAGGCGCCACUAAGUCGGACGUGAAAUCCCCAGGCUACAACCUGGGAACUGCGUCCGAUACUGGAUGGCUUGAAUCCGGGAGAGGGAUGCAGAAUUCCGAGGUGUAGCGGUGAAAUGCGUAGAUAUCGAGAGGAACACCUGCGGCGAAGGCGGGUAGCUGGGC
rnacentral:rRNA from 1 species